ensembl:lncRNA
GUAUAGUUUAUGCACCUUACAGAACUGUUUCUUCACGUUGUUAUUUUGUUGUUAAGUGUUUUGGUUAAUAAAUAAUCAUGACCACUUACCACACUGCGCUUUGGUCCGAUCCUCAUUACAACGAGAGCCGUGACACCCAUGGUGUUUCUACUUGCGUACUAUUGUUUGUACAGAUGAACGUGGUACCUUCAGGCAUUCAGAAAUUGAUCCCAAGGAUGAACCAGACUCAGGUCUACAGUUUUUUUCUGAAGUCUUGGCUGAUUUAUUUAGAUUAUCCCAUGAUGUCAAGCAAAGAGGCACUGAGUUUGAAGCAGCUGGGACUGAGGAGCAGGCAGUUUCCUAUGGGCACCUCUGGGCACCUUUCAUCCAAGCUACUCAAUACUGCCCCUGCAGCCAUAAGAAGUUAAUGACUCCAACCUAAAUUGACCUGCUCAAAGGGUUCCAGGACUCUGCACACCUCCUUCACCACCUCCCAUUCCUCUUGGGCGAGAGCAUCAACAAUGGCCAGGGUAGAG